UACGUAGGUGGCAAGCGUUAUCCGGAUUUACUGGGUGUAAAGGGCGUGUAGGCGGCUCCGCAAGUCAGAUGUGAAAUUCCCGGGCUUAACCCGGGCGCUGCAUCUGAAACUGCGGAACUUGAGUACUGGAGAGGAUAGUGGAAUUCCUAGUGUAGCGGUAAAAUGCGUAGAUAUUAGGAGGAACACCAGUGGCGAAGGCGGCUAUCUGGACAGUAACUGACGCUGAGGCGCGAAAGCGUGGGGAGCAAACAGG
rnacentral:rRNA from 1 species